GAGGGCCCGUCCUCACCGGAUGUUGGCACCAUGGUUCCCACGGGAAUGCUUUCCGAUCAAGAGGCCGACAGGCUGGAGGGCACCGGGUACUGGCUACACCGGCCUGGGGCAGGAAGGCUAAGGAAGUGCCAAGGAACCCAGGAAGCAGGCUCCGACCUUUGAUUUGGAAUGCAGGCAAGAUGUCCAGACUGAGAUCAAGGCGCCUCUCUGAGCCCAUCAUCCUUUGCCCAUUUUAGUCUAGGAGGAAGCUCAGUGUAGAAGCAAGUCUGGGCUUUGGCAUCACAGGGACCUGAGUCCAAAUCCUGGCUCAGCCACUUACCAGCUGGGGGACUUAUAAUAAGAAGGAUCACCUCAAUUUCCCUACUUUGGGGAACUGCUUCUCUCCCAGUCCAAUCGUAUGAUUCUAGUGCACCCUCUUGUCAGUGGACCCCACUCCAUGGCCCCAGGGGUGAUCAAAGAACUAGGGCGAGACCAUGGAGCUGCCAUCAUUUCCCAGAGCUGAAAUGCUGUGAAUGGGGGCUUGCUGGUAGCCAUCGUUGCCAGACAGUCUGGAGAUGACGACAAUCUGUCUGCAUAACAGAAAAUGAGACAGAGAAGAAAUGCAGAAGGCAAAAAGAGACUUGACAAUAUCAUUUGAGUUCCUCUAUCCAGUCUGUUUCUGGGACUAACCCUCUCUAGGUGAAGGAUUGACUCAUUUCCUCAUUUAACAAACUUCUAUUGAGUUCCUAGUGCAUGAAGGGGAAUACGGAAAUAAGGAAGAUACUGUCACUGUCCUCGAGGCAGUAAUUGUGCUGUGACAGGCAUGGAUGUGUAUACACACACACACACACACACACACACUCAUAGUGGAUAAUGGAGGAGGCACAAAAGAAAGUACACUACCAUCUGGGCCAAGGCGGGGGUGCGGGCAGCUCAACAAAGACUUCAUGGAGGUGGUGACCCCCAGAGGAAUCUUAAAAUGCCACUGGUAGGAGUGAUCCUCAAUGGGUCCACUCUUCAAAGUACGAGGCUAGGCCGCCCGGGCUGCUCAGUUGGAAAUCCUUUGUGGACGUAUUUCUAAGGAUAAGCCUUUGCCACAUGAGCAUGCUGCUAAGCUGGAGGCCUUCACUGGGAGGUGACACAAUGCUGGAAAGGAACCACUGCAGGCUGAUGCCCUGAGCUGUCUCCACCACAGACCUCCCAUUGUGUUCUGUCAUUUCCUCCGGAAGUUUUAAUUUUGGAAGGCCGCCCUGACCUACCUCUUCAGGUUGAUCAAAUGGCACAGUUAUCUACCUAGGAUCCCAGAUUGUAUUGAACUGAAUGGAUGGGAGUAGGGGGCUGUCUAGAAAAGAAAGUGCCAAAGGGAGUCCAGCCAUCCACAAGCUGUUAGCUGGAGCCGGCUGCCCACAAAGGAUCCCUUUGUUAUUCCAGGAGGUGUUGUCACAAGAGCUUGGCCACAACUCACGAAGCACAUCCAGGAACUGUUUUCAUGAAAGGGCUGGCAGGGAGCACUGUCUGGUGGCCUGGAACGGAUUCUGAUCUUGAGCAGACCGGGAGGGGGAACACCCGCCAGGCUGCCCGGCACCACCUGCCCCUGAAGCCGGCUGUCCCAUGGGCAGUGACCAAGAAGCACGGCCAGAACUCCACAAAAGGCCUUCUGGGCUGUGGUCAGCUCCCUCUCUGAAAGGUUCUGAGAGCUCCUACUUCCAUCCUAAACCUUGUUGUUGCAGAAACAAUUGCAACUCUUCCCUUAUAAUUUGCAACACACUGCAGCCCUCAAUCAUAUCCAUCUUGACCACAGCAGAGUGUCAGAAAUCUUUGGAAAGGAAAUUGAUCUGAAUUGCUACUCUUAUAGCUAGAGUGACUGUGUAAUUUAUCUUUCAAACCUAAACACUUUGAAAAGUCAUAGGAGGCACUGGGACAACUGGCAUGAACUUGGACCAGCCCAGGCAAACCUAAAAGUCUGGGCUCCCUAUUUAUUCCCUUGAACAAAAGGUGAAGACAAAAGGAUGGUGCCUUGAAGCAGAUUGUUGGUGGAGAUGGCAACCAGCCAGUCCAAAUUCCUUGAUGUCUCUCACUCCAUGUUUCAUAGCAGGAUGUUCUGAGUUAAUCAUGGCACAGCUUGCCUUAGCAACCUCCAUCCAGACUUUGCUGAGGACGCACUAGCCAAGAACAUAGUCUAGAUGCAUUCCCUGUGUAACUGUUCUUCUGUUGUUCUCGGAGGCUGUGAAGCACAGAAUAAGAAGGUAAGCUUGUACGUGAAAGAUCAAGCAACACCAAGUGUGGGAGAGGGCACAGAGCCACAGACACUCUGGCACACUGCAUGAGGGUGAGCUGCACAGUGAACUGGAGGAGCACAAUGCCCUCGGCCGAGUAAUUCCUCUCCUGAGUGUACACCGUGUGAAACUCUCACAUGCGUGCAGAAGGAUACCUGAACAAAAACGUUUGUAGCAGCACUGUCUAGAAGAGUAAAAAACUGAGCGCAAUCUAAAGGUCCAUCAACAGAGUUGUGGAUUGUGGAAAGUGAUGACAAAAACAAAUCAUCCAAUUAAAAGAUGGGCAGAGGAUCUGAAUAGACGUUUUUCCAAAGAUGACAAACAAUUGGCCAACAGGUACAUGAA